rnacentral:tRNA from 4 species
GGCUUCUUAGCUCAGUUGGUAGAGCAUCGGACUGAAAAUCCGUGUGUCGGCAGUUCGAGUCUGCCAGAGGCCA